CAGGCGCCUGACCUUGUGUUUAGGUUUGGGGGGACAGAUGGAGCCACCAUCCAGAGCCCCCAGAUUUCCGGAAUCUAAGUUUCUGGAAGAGGCCACAUCUUCUCUAAAGCUUCAUCUCAGUGGUUGUCAUCCCAGUCGGGAGACGCGUGCACUUUAAAUGCCCUCAACGGUUGGCUUCCCCUUCCAGACCAUCAACCAUGUUAGCUGUGUGCUUUGAAAAUGGAGAGGGUUAAAGACAUGCCAACUGCCACAAUCCAGCCUUUGCCAGCAUACUAUCUCCUACCCCCUUAAGAACUGUCUUUGGGGAAGAAAUCAUCAAGAUGUUUUUUUGUAAAGGUACGAGUCUUUUUUUCCUCUUGUGUCUCAGGGUAAUACCACUAAGAGUUGUUCCUCUGCUGAUAGUCUCCCUAUUUGUUCUCUUCCCAUGCCCCUAGUACUAGCAGUAGUGAGCAAAAGUUUUCGAGACUCUUGGAAUUUGCUGUAUCUUCAUGGGGGGAGGGGGGCGGGUAUUAGUGGGUAGGGGGUUAAUAGGCCCAGCCUUAAAUAAAAGGUAGCACCACUUCACCCAAGGGUGCCAGUCACAGAGAUACUGUAUUUGUCAUCUGUUGGUCCCAAAGCUGCCUUCUCCAUGGCCAGUUCUUUCUCCCCAAGGGCUUGGUAUUGGCCUUGGAGCUGCAGUUGUCCAUACAGUGUUGAUGGGGAUGCCACUUGUGCCCUGUGGACAGGAAAGCCUGUUGAGAGAGACAGUCCUGUGGCUUGGAGGGGACCCCGGACUCUGCCAGGGGGCAUCAACCCCCCCAUGCCUGGACACCCUUGGAAUGCGGAAGCCCAGAAAGAGCUUUAGCCUGUGGUUUCUGAGGCUGUGGUGGCAGUGGUUGGCUGAGGGAUGUGUGACUUGCCUUCCUGCAGCAGGACCACGGGACACACAGGCUGUGGUCCUGGGGUCCCAGCCCCACCUGGCGCAGUUGCUGUGAUUGAUCCUCAGAGACAAAGAAGAGGGCAGAGCAUUUGUUUGUUGUGGUUCUUCAUUUUCCUUCAGCGUAGCGUAACAUUCCUAGUUAACCAGCGCUUUGCAAUCUGCUGCCUGCUGGCCAGGUUUUACAAUGAAAAGUCUUCUAAUGCUGCCGUAACGGGGGAAAAAAGGAAGGGGAAAAAAAGGCUUCUCUCCACGUACCAGUCUAAUUUAGUUUGUGAAAAGCUUGACAGACCUUGAGUUAGUUCUCCAUCUCGCUAAGGUUUAAAGACGGCAGACCCAACUGGUUAAAGUCUUUCCUGCCACAGACCGUGACGGCCUGCUCCAGACACGCAGGCGGAACCCGGCCUCUGCUCACCCCAGUCGUCACCCCGCUUGAAUGAUUCUGCCUUUCGCGACCACCUGCCAGGUUGGGCGGCUUGAGGGCACUGACAGGGACCUGUUGGUUGGCUGGCCCGCAGUCACAGUGUAGUCUGUGGAUUCCUGCGUGUCACCCCGUCAGCGCGCAGGAGAUCAGGAGACGCCAGGGUUUAUGCAGGAGGGCGAUUACCUACACCUCAUACCUCUGCUCUCAUUCGUUGUUUCCAGAUGCUGUAGGAACAUUUCUGUGCUGAAUCCUAUUAGAUUAAAAAGGGGUUAAAACCCAAAUGCUGUAUAUUAAUUUGUAAUUAUGUAUAAAGUAAAGCAGUUUUAAACUGUAAAGAUUUUUUUUCAGUGUGUUUUCUGAAAUUUUGCCACAACAUACCGGCUUUGUAUUUUAUUUAUCAUCUUUUCUAGUUAUUGGCUUCAGACUCUUGUAAAGUCUCCCUCCACCCUUUCAAAAAAUAAAUGUCCUUUAAGUCU
rnacentral:lncRNA from 1 species